UACGAAGGGAGCUAGCGUUAAUCGGAAUUAUUGGGCGUAAAGGGUGCGCAGGCGGAUGUAUAAGUCAGAUGUGAAAUCCCCGGGCUUAACCUGGGAAUUGCGUUUGAAACUAUAUGACUAGAGUGUGAUAGAGGGGAGUGGAAUUCCAUGUGUAGCAGUGAAAUGCGUAGAGAUGUGGAAGAACACCGAUGGCGAAGGCAGCUCCCUGGAUUAACACUGACGCUCAUGCACGAAAGCGUGGGGAGCAAACAGG
rnacentral:rRNA from 1 species